rnacentral:rRNA from 1 species
AGAGUUUGAUCCUGGCUCAGAACGAACGCUGGCGGCGUGCUUAAUACAUGCAAGUCGAACGUGAAGCCUUAGCUUGCUAGGGUGGAAAGUGGCGAACGGGUGAGUAACACGUAAGUAAUCUACCUCUAAAUUUGGGAUAGCCCUGCCAACGCGGGGCUAAUACCGGAUGUGAUCAAUAAGAUGCAUGUCUUUAUGAUUAAAGGUGCAAACCGUUUAGAGAUGAGCUUGCGGCCCAUUGUGUUGGUAAGGUAAUGGCUUACCAAGGCUUCGAUGGGUAGCCGGCCUGAGAGGGUGAACGGCCACAUUGGGACUGAGAUACGGCCCAGACUCCUACGGGAGGCAGCAGUAGGGAAUUUUGCGCAAUGGGCGAAAGCCUGACGCAGCAACGCCGCGUGAAGGAUGAAGGUUUUCGGAUCGUAAACUUCUGUUAUGUGGGAAGAAAAGCUCGCAAGAGUAUGACGGUACCACUUGAGUAAGCACCGGCUAACUACGUGCCAGCAGCCGCGGUAAUACGUAGGGUGCAAGCGUUGUUCGGAAUUACUGGGCGUAAAGGGAGUGUAGGCGGAAUUAUAAGUUAGAAGUUUAAUUUACGGGCUCAACCCGUGAACUGCUUUUAAUACUGUAGUUCUUGAGUAUGGGAGAGGGUGAUGGAAUUCCAGGUGUAGCGGUGGAAUGCGUAGAUAUCUGGAAGAACACCAGUUGCGGAGGCGGUCGCCUGGCCCAAUACUGACGCUGAUGCUCGAAAGCUAGGGGAGCAAACAGGAUUAGAUACCCUGGUAGUCCUAGCUGUAAACGAUGAACACUAGUUGCUGGGGGAGUCAAUCUUUUCAGUGACGAAGCUAACGCAUUAAGUGUUCCGCCUGGGAAGUACGCCCGCAAGGGUGAAACUCAAAGGAAUUGACGGGGGCCCGCACAAGCGGUGGAGUAUGUGCUUUAAUUCGAUGCAACGCGAAGAACCUUACCUGGGUUUGACAUGGGGGUGAAAGUUUCCAGAGAUGGAUUCCCUUCCGCAAGGAACGCCCUACACAGGUGCUGCAUGGUUGUCGUCAGCUCGUGUCGUGAGAUGUUGGGUUAAGUCCCGCAACGAGCGCAACCCUCGCCCUUAGUUGCCAUCAGGUCGUGCUGGGAACUCUAAGGGGACCGCCUAGUUUAACUAGGAGGAAGGUGGGGAUGACGUCAAAUCAUCAUGGCCCUUACGCCCAGGGCUAGACACGUAC